CUCAGAUUGAACGCUGGCGGCAGGCCUAACACAUGCAAGUCGAGCGGUAACAGGGGUAGCUUGCUACCCGCUGACGAGCGGCGGACGGGUGAGUAAUGCAUAGGAAUCUGCCCGAUAGUGGGGGAUAACCUGGGGAAACCCAGGCUAAUACCGCAUACGUCCUACGGGAGAAAGGGGGCUUCGGCUCUCGCUAUUGGAUGAGCCUAUGUCGGAUUAGCUAGUUGGUGAGGUAAUGGCUCACCAAGGCAACGAUCCGUAGCUGGUCUGAGAGGAUGAUCAGCCACAUCGGGACUGAGACACGGCCCGAACUCCUACGGGAGGCAGCAGUGGGGAAUAUUGGACAAUGGGCGAAAGCCUGAUCCAGCCAUGCCGCGUGUGUGAAGAAGGCCUUCGGGUUGUAAAGCACUUUCAGCGAGGAAGAACGCCUAGUGGUUAAUACCCAUUAGGAAAGACAUCACUCGCAGAAGAAGCACCGGCUAACUCCGUGCCAGCAGCCGCGGUAAUACGGAGGGUGCAAGCGUUAAUCGGAAUUACUGGGCGUAAAGCGCGCGUAGGUGGCUUGAUAAGCCGGUUGUGAAAGCCCCGGGCUCAACCUGGGAACGGCAUCCGGAACUGUCAAGCUAGAGUGCAGGAGAGGAAGGUAGAAUUCCCGGUGUAGCGGUGAAAUGCGUAGAGAUCGGGAGGAAUACCAGUGGCGAAGGCGGCCUUCUGGACUGACACUGACACUGAGGUGCGAAAGCGUGGGUAGCAAACAGGAUUAGAUACCCUGGUAGUCCACGCCGUAAACGAUGUCGACCAGCCGUUGGGUGCCUAGCGCACUUUGUGGCGAAGUUAACGCGAUAAGUCGACCGC
rnacentral:rRNA from 1 species